rnacentral:rRNA from 1 species
UACAGAGGUCCCAAGCGUUGUUCGGAUUCACUGGGCGUAAAGGGUGCGUAGGUGGCGGGGUAAGUUCGAUGUGAAAGCUCCGAGCUCAACUCGGAAAUGGCAUUGAAUACUAUCCCGCUCGAGGGUCGGAGGGGAGACUGGAAUUCUCGGUGUAGCAGUGAAAUGCGUAGAUAUCGAGAGGAACACCAGUGGCGAAGGCGAGUCUCUGGACGACUCCUGACACUGAGGCACGAAAGCUAGGGGAGCAAACAGG